AUGCCUCCUCCCCUUCCUUCUCCAUGGUAAUUGCAGUCUGAGGCUUGAAAGAACAUCUUUUGUGAGUCAAUUUAUUUUCCAUCUCUUAAUAUACACCAUGUAUGAGAUUGCUGUCUGCUUAGGAGCAGUAAGCCAUCAAUCUGAUGAAGAAUGCUGAGGGAUUUCUAAGUCGAAAAGUUUCUCCUUGCUGUAGCUAACAAUGCUGCUGGGUUAGGGUCUCCCCAACUGAGCUGGUCUCAGCAAGUGGCGUCCAUUCGUGGGAGCUUGAAUCCAGGUCGAAGGGUCACCGGAGCAAUGGUUGGAAUGGAAAACUAGCUGGAGGACACCCGAGUACUCUAAAAGCAAUCCCCAUGGCCAAAAUCAACAGCCAAUUUGGAUACCAUCAAGACACCUGAAACCUUAUCAUGAGCCAGAUGCCAAGGAAGAGAUUCGGGAGGAUCCUGAGGACCCCCCGGUUGCAGCCAUGUUGAGACUGAUGCUGAGGAGGACCCCAACUGUCACGAGCAACACCCGUCGACCACAGCCACCCACCUGGGGACAGAUCAAGAAGCUGUCACAGAUGGCGGAGGAAAGCGGAACAACCAGUCACAAUGAAUAAUUUAAUGGUAGCUAUGAUAGUGGUUAUCACCACUGCCUCUGCAGAUAUGGAUCCUGACUCCUGCAAGAAAUAGCUCACCGUGACAAAGCUGCCCUUGCUUUUAUCGAUUUGCAAAUCAAAGAAGGGGGACAUGUUGGGAGCAGGCCCCCCCCCCCAAAAUCUGGCCAUAAUCUCUGCAGCACUAUGACAUGUUCAUGACGGCCAUAAUGCCCACACUGGAAGAUUGUGGGUUUAUGGGAAUGAGGGCAAGGAACACCUGGCCCACCCAGGGCGGAAAACUGCUUAAAGGCAUUCUUAAGCCACAAACAAUAGCAUGAACGAUCUGUGCCUUAAGGACAUACUCCUGCUGCAGUUAACUAGCCCAACCUAUUCCUUUAAUUCAGCCCAUCCCUUCUUUUCCCAUAAGGGAUACUUCUAGUUAAUUUAAUAUCUAUAGAAACAAUGCUAAUGACUGGCUUGCUGUUAAUAAAUACGUGGGUAAAUCUCUGUUUGGGGCUCUCAGCUCUGAAGGCUGUGAGACCCCUGAUUUCCCACUUCACACCUCUAUAUUUCUGUGUGUGUCUUUAAUUCCUCU
rnacentral:lncRNA from 10 species